rnacentral:rRNA from 1 species
CCUACGGGAGGCAGCAGUAACGAAUCUUCCGCAAUGCACGAAAGUGUGACGGAGCGACGCCGCGUGUGGGACGAAGCCCUUCGGGGUGUAAACCACUGUCAGGGGUUACCAAGUUCUGAGGAGCCCCAGAGGAAGGCACGGCUAACUCUGUGCCAGCAGCCGCGGUAAGACAGAGGUGCCAAGCGUUAGGCGGAAUCACUGGGCUUAAAGCGUGUGUAGGCGGAAUUGUAAGUACCUUGUGAAAUCCCACGGCUCAACCGUGGAACUGCUCGGUAUACUGCUUCUCUUGAGCCACUUAGGGGCUGUCGGAACAAACGGUGGAGCGGUGAAAUGCGUAGAUAUCGUUUGGAACGCCAAAGGUGAAAACAGACAGCUGGGAGUGUGCUGACGCUGAGACACGAAAGCCAGGGGAGCGAACGGGAUUAGAUACCCCGGUAGUCCUGGCCCUAAACGAUGUCGACUAGAUCGUGGUGCCUCUGACGGUAUCACGGUCGAAGCAAAAGUGCUAAGUCGACCGCCUGGGAAGUACGGUCGCAAGGCUAAAACUCAAAGGAAUUGACGGGGGCUCACACAAGCGGUGGAGCAUAUGGUUCAAUUCGAAGCAACGCGCAGAACCUUACCUGGGCUUGACAUGCCAGGAUUAUCCCCAUGAAAGUGGGGUAGGCCCUUCGGGGUACAACUGGUACAGGUGCUACAUGGCUGUCGUCAGCUCGUGUCGUGAGAUGUCGGGUUAAGUCCCUUAACGAGCGAAACCUUUGCCCUUAGUUACCAGCGGGUUAUGCCGGGGACUCUAAGGGGACUGCCGGUGUCAAACCGGAGGAGGGGGAGAUGACGUCAAGUCCUCAUGGCCUUUAUGCCCAGGGCCACACACGUGCUACAAUGCGGCGCACAAAGCGAACCUAAACGCAAGUUCAUGGAAAUCGCAGAAAUCGCCGCCCAGUUCAGAUUGGAGGCUGCAACUCGCCUCCAUGAAGUUGGGAUCGCUA